rnacentral:misc_RNA from 1 species
GAAAUGCGAUAAGUAAUGUGAAUUGCAGAAUUCAGUGAAUCAUCGAAUCUUUGAACGCACAUUGCGCCCCUUGGUAUUCCGAGGGGCAUGCCUGUUCGAGCGUCAUUAUAACCCCUCAAGCUUAGCUUGGUAUUGGGGCCUGCCGCACCGGCAGCCCUUAAAAUCAGUGGCAGUGCCAUCUGGCUCUAAGCGUAGUAAUUCUUCUCGCUAUAGAGUCCUGGUGGAUGCUUGCCAUCAACCCCUAAUUUUCUAUGGUUGACCUCGGAUCAGGUAGGGAUACCCGCUGAACUUAA